GACUGUAUAUAUACGUAGAGCUUCUGUGUAUUAUACCUGUAACAUUGUACGUGUUGUACACUAUAAAUAUAAACCCUACGCCAACCCUAUUGGGUGUUGAGCGUUCCCAAAUCAUUGUUUCACAAUUCCAUGCGUGCCCUCUCGCGAUUCGUGGCUAUCGCCCAGGCCGCCUGCUUCAUGCCCUCGCUCUCGCCGAUCGCGACCGACCGACCGCGAGACGAUCUGCUGACUGCUGCCCUCCUGCGGACUACGGUGCUGCCUGCUAGUCCGCCGGCCAGUGGCCGUCGCAGUUGCCAUCGACAAUCAGGCAAUCAUCCAAUCUGCGUAUUAGAUUAAGAUAGAAGGAGCAGGGUUAACUGGUUUGGCAAUUCUAUACAUCGACAAGAAGUUAAUGGACGAGUUUGAUAUUGAUUUCAUCGUCACAGACUUUGCUUCUAGGAAUUGGCGGAGAAAUUUUAAGGUCUGAUGCCGACGAUCUCGUCCCUGAGCUCUUGCCGGUGGACAUGACUCCGCAUGCUGCUGACGGCCGCCUCCCCGACGAGCAUGGGGUUGGUUGCUGACCUUGGAGCAAGCUACCUUCAUGCACACCUGUUGGUGCUACAAAAAUACAAGCAAAUGGCAUCAAGACUCCGAUUCUGAUUGCUUUUACCGCGCAGGUAGAAUGCAACGUGAAAUUUGGUGUCUUCUAUUGCUUGUUGUGCUGCUCAGGAUAAAAUGGAUUACUAAACAACAGCCAGGGUAGCUGGACCGUGUAGCCCCUGCUGGCCCUAGGCUUUGAUUUCUUCCUCCUUGGCCCUUGCUGCUGUGCGAUGGCAGCAGUGACUUUCUUCUUCGACUCUCAUGGGUUUAGGUAAGUUUUCGGUUUCGGGCAUCGAGCCGAUGACCUUAGCUUGACUGUACAUUUGACCUGAACUUCUUCUUCGACUCUCAUGGGUUCAGCUUGCUGUAUUGGAGUGAUGUAUACCCAUUUCGUGUUACAGAAAGGUGGCCACGUAUUGAAAUGUA